rnacentral:rRNA from 1 species
AACGUAGGUACCGAGCGUUAUCCGGAUUUACUGGGCGUAAAGCGCGUUCAGGCGGCUUGACAAGUCGGGCAUGAAAUCUCUCGGCUCAACCGGGAGGGGCUGUCCGAUACUGUCGGGCUUGAGGGCAGUAGAGGGUGGUGGAAUUCCGGGUGUAGUGGUGAAAUGCGUAGAUAUCUGAAGGAACACCAGUGGCGAAGGCGGCUUUCUGGCCUAUUCUUGACGCUGAGGCGCGAAAGCUAGGGGAGCGAACGGG